UGUGGGAGCGAGCCUGCUCGCGAUAGCUGUGUGUCAGGCAGCAUCAAUGUUGGCUGACAGCACGCCAUCGCGAGCAGGCUCGCUCCCACA
rnacentral:misc_RNA from 1 species